rnacentral:rRNA from 1 species
CCUACGGGGGGCAGCAGUGGGGAAUAUUGCACAAUGGGGGAAACCCUGAUGCAGCGACGCCGCGUGAGUGAAGAAGGAAUUCGUUAUGUAAAGCUCUAUCAGCCGGGAAGCAAAUGACGGUACCUGAGUAAGAAUCCCCGGCUAACUACGUGCCAGCAGCCGCGGUAAUACGUAGGGGGCAGGCGUUAUCCGGAUUUACUGGGGGUAAAGGGAGCGUAGACGGCAGUGCAAGUCUGGAGUGAAAGGCGGGGGCUCAACCCCCGGACUGCUGUGGAAACUGUACGGCUGGAGUGCAGGAGAGGUAAGUGGAAUUCGUGGUGUAGCGGUGAAAUGCGUAGAUAUUAGGAGGAACUCCAGUGGCGAAGGCGGCUUACUGGACUGUAACUGACGUUGAGGCUCGAAAGCGUGGGGAGCGAACAGGAUUAGAUACCCGAGUAGUC